CCUGAACCAGCCAUGCCGCGUGCGGGAAGAAGGCGCUACGCGUCGUAAACCGCUUUUGUCCGGGGGUAACCGCGGGGUCGUGUCCCCGCCUGCAAGUACCGAACGAAUCAGGGUCGGCUAACUCCGUGCCAGCAGCCGCGGUAAUACGGAGGACCCGAGCGUUAUCCGGAUUCAUUGGGUUUAAAGGGUGCGUAGGCGGCCCGGUAAGUCAGCGGUGAAAGGCUCCUGCUCCACAGGAGAGCUGCCGUUGAUACUGCUGGGCUAGAAUGAUAUCGAGGCGGGCGGAAUGCGCGGUGUAGGGGUGAAAUGCAUAGAUAUCGCGCAGAACGC
rnacentral:rRNA from 1 species